UGAGAGAGAGAGAGAGAGAGAGAGAGAGUAGUUUNNNNNNNNNNNNNNNNNNNNUAGGGUAGGUAGGAGAGAGAGAGAGAGAGAGAGAGAGAGAGUUUUUGGCACUGGGUUUCGUACGAGAUGCAUUUGCGUCCAUUCGGUGUUCAAGGAAAUUUCUAAGAGAACGGAUGACCUUCUGGGCUGUUGUACAAUAGCCAUAAGUGCAGGACGGCUGUAAAAUGUUUGUGGCUGUUAAGAGGCAUCCCAACUGCCUGUUUCGUGUCAUGUGUUGGGGUGUUGUACGAACUGAGCAGCUUGAGCUUUGCUCGGGCUUGGCAUGAGAAGAGCUCUAAUCCAGCUCACUUUGAAGCUAAACGAAUCAAGCUUGAAUCAGGAAUAUAGGCUCAAAGUUAAUUUCAAGCUGAGCUAAAAAUUGACCUGACGCAAUCAGGUUGGCUUCAUGAGGCUUGAAUAUACUCAAGUUAUAUAAAUAUAUUUUAUACAUAAUGAAUUAUUGGAUUUAGGUUUUAAUUGUUGCAUCUUUUUAUUCUCUGGAUCAAUUAAACAUUGAUAUAGGUCUGAACCAAACCUUAAACUAAGCUUCAAAAAUUGAGUUUUCAUUUAUGCUUGAACCAAAUUUCAUUUAAACGCUAGUUGAUUUGAGCUUGAUUAAGGAUUACCAAGCUGACGAGUAGCCUUGUGCACUGCUCAGCUCGAAUUGAGCUCACAAUAAUGGUAAAUAAAUCAAGCUUGAUGUGGGAGUGCUAGCUUGAAUUAAUUUCAAACCAAGCUUGAUCAGUCCCAAGAUCAAGCUUGG
rnacentral:lncRNA from 1 species